UUUGGGGGUAAUGGUUUUGUUUUGUGUGAUUCUGUUUUUUGAUUUCACUGAUUUUACUCUUUUGUUUUUGGGUUUUUGAUAAUCUAAUUGGAUAUGUGCGGUUCUAUAUCCUUUCCGGGAUUUUCUGGUUUUUGUGUUUAUGUGCAUCUAUUAUAACCAAACACCUCACAUUUUCCAUUAUAAGUAUAUUUGUUAAUAAUGUUUAUAUCAUUUCUCAACAAUAUCUUCGUAUCCAUUAUAAUAUAAGUAUAUUUUUAAAGAGUUGGGUGGAAAUUUGCAUUGUUGUCAAUACACCUCCAGAUGAAUAAAUAUCAACUUGUAGAUUUUAAAUGAUGUGUUCUGUUGAAAAAUGUAAAGAUAACUCUCCAAACCUUUUUUUAGUUUCUUGUCUUAUAAUACUUGGUUCCUGGAAGUUAUUUAUUUAGUAGUUCCAUUGGUAGGGUCAUUCCAGGAUAUAGAGUAUAAUGUAAAAUUAGCUUUAUCUUGAACUUUUCUCAGCAUUAGCAGUUACUUUUUCUUAUGCAUUGUAAAUAAUGUAUAGCAUCAUGUUUGAAAUUGAAGAAGCUUUGUAUUAUUUAACUUCCUGGAUGAAGUGAUUAACCAUAAACAGUCCUAAUUUGUGUAUAUUUGAUCAUAAAUUAUUUAACUUCCUGGAUGAAGUGAUUAAUCAUAAACAGUCCUGGAUGAAGUGAUAUUGCAGAUGUUAGAUGUUUAGAUUAGAGAUAAUGAUGGCGAGAGUUGCCUAGUUGGUGUUUGAAGGUUGGAGAUUAACAGUUGGGGGGAAUAGUGGAAGGGUGUGGGAAAUCCUACUGAUGUAGUAUGGGAGUUUUGGUUCUCACAUUUCUUGUAUAAUAAUGUUUGGUAGGAUGUGAUGAUAUCAUUAAUUAGGUAGGGUAGUUAGUGUUCUGUAGCAUGUGUACAUUGCUAACUGCUGCUGCGCAUUGAGUUUCCUUGAUGACAAUUUUAUUAUUUGUGGUGGCAGAUUCAUGAAUUUUGGUGUUAUACUAAAAUAAUAUUUGUCAUGUAAUUCUCUACAUCUUCAUAAUACCAUUCCAUGCACUAGCUUACAACUGUGAAAUAUUUAUUCAAGGGAGAAUUCAAUCUGUGGUAGCACGACAAGGCAAUUUUUGGUCAUUUUACUUGUGUUUGCUGUAUCAUACUAAUGUAUUAUUGUGAUGUUAAUACUACUUAUUUCCUACUUUUCUCAAUGUCUUCUCCGCCUCAAAGAUUUUUAGUUAGGUUCUGAAAGUGACAGGGAGAACAAUGAUAGCUGGGAUCAUAAAGUGUAACUAUGAACAAUACUCCAUCAAGUAGAACCCCAGCCCCAAAAAAGCCAAAGGCAAAAGAUCCGAAUAAAAGAGACAUGACAUUUGAUAAAAAGCAAAAACUAAGCACAAACCUUCAGGGUUUACCUCCAGAGAAGCUUGAUGCUAUUGUACACAUCAUUAAGAGGAGAAAUUUAGCCUUGAAUCAACAUGAUGAUGAAAUUGAAGUGGACAUUGAUAGCGUGGAUGCUGAGACUCUUUGGGAGCUUGAUAGAUUUGUGACCAACUAUAAGAAAAGUUUGAGCAAAAACAAGAGGAGGGCUGAAGUUGCUCGAGCUAGAGCAGAAGCUUUGCAGAAUUCCAUCCUGAGGUAGAGCCAGCCACCAGCUAUGAUAGAGAUUUCUAGAGAACCACAAGCAGAUGUUAGAUGUUUAGAUUAGAGAUAAUGAUGGCGACAGUUGCCUAGUUGGUGUUUGAAGGUUGGAGAUUAACAGUUGGGGAUAAUAGUGGAAGGGCGUGGGAAAUCCUACUGAUGUAGUAUGGGAGUUUUGGUUCCCACAUUUCUUGUAUAAUAAUGUUUGGUAGGAUGUGAUGAUAUAAUUAAUUAGUCAUCUUGAGAACAACCACUUGGCAUGUAUGCUGCCAGCCUCUUUGGAGAACCUUCUGAAUUUGAGGGAACUCAGGUAUGUUCAGAACAAUAUGUUAUCUGGAACCAUACCGUCUGAUCUUUUGAGUAGAAAUUUGGUUUUAAAGUGAGUAUUGUUUUUCCUUGAAAUACAAUUGCUUCAAAUGGAUCAAUACAUUUCUUAUUUAAAGAUAUGCUAGAGAGAUUGACAUGAUUCACAGUAAGGCUCAUUCAAAUUGAAUGCCAACAUUUCCCUGUAGAAUGAAAUAACGUAGUUGGUUCCCCUUCCAAGUUUCUAGGGAUUUCAGAGGAUGUUCAAGAAGCAAAUUGUGUGUAUUAGCUACUUCCACUGUCAAAUUGCUGUCAAAUUCGCGCCAACAUCAGAAGCUAAGAAUUGUUAUCUUGGAUCACUAGAUUAUACAAAAGUAGUUGGUAAAAUCGUUGUUUGUGUUAACGAUGAUCCAAAUAUUUCAAGGCGCAUCAAGAAGCUAGUUUUACAAGAUGCAAGAGCCAUAGGGAGGAUACCAUUCGACGAGAACAAUAGAGAUGUGUUUCCUUUGAUGCAGGCGCAUUUCCCUUCACAGAGAUUGGAAAUCUUGAACGACAUCAGAUCCUUCAGUACAUAAACUCUACAAAGUAUGAUCAAUCUUUACAUAAACUAUAUCGGGAAUCCAACUGCAACAAUUCUUCCAACUGCAACAAUUCUUCCAACAACAGAAGUUAACCAACUUCAGAUAGCAUACACAAUAGAAGAAAAUAAGAAGUCACAUAAUGUUUUGAUAUAUCUUGUUUGGAGCAUGUGAUUUGCAAAUAUGUUUCUAAUGACAUGUUGAACCUUCAGAUGAAAGUGAGGAGGAAGGGAGUUUGGUGCAGAAACAUCAUUAUCAUCACGUUCUAUACCUGUACAGACCGCCAAAGCUGCCAAUUCUUCUGGUGGACUUGAUCUGAAUGUGACUCAAUGAGUCUACACUGUCAAAUAGCAGUGAUAAGAAGGAAGGAAGCAAAAGAUUUUUUGGGAUAGAUCUUGAAGCUUACUUAAAAAGAGGGUUCUCGAACGGUAUUUCUCAGGAGACAUCCAAUGGUUUUGAUUUUUUUCGAUCCGAUUCCACCGUACCGUGUCUCUCUUCAACCACCAUCUAUCGCCGUUCGUGCCACCGUAGACGCUGGAAUUUGGUAUUAUGCUGAUGAAAUUGUGAAUCCGUGCAUAGUGCUCGAGCUUUUGAGUAAUAUGGCAUUAGCUUUGUGUUCUUCUAUCCUUGAAGAUUUAUUUAACAUAGAUAGGAUAAGGAUAAGGAUCUUUUCAUUAUUUUAUGGACUUUGGCAGUACAUGUUCAGCAAGUUAGAGCUUCAUGGACUCAUUUUAGGGAUUGACAAGGCUGGCAAAACGACUUUGCUUGAGAAGAUGAAGUCGGUGUACACGAAUGUAGAAGGUCUUCCUCCGGAUCGAAUUGUGGAAAGCAAUUGCUUCUCCAGGGCGUGGUAUUUUGGCCAUGGAUGAAUCCAAUGCUAGAUGUGGAAAGCGGUUGGAUUCAAUUGGACUAGAGAACACCGAAGCUAACCGUCAAGCAUGGCGUAAAAUUAUAUAUGAAGAAAGUGUUAUGACUUAGUUAAAAUAUAAUUUUUAUGUGUAUGAUUUUAUAAUACUUGAAAUAUUAUGACUG